GACGAACGCUGGCGGCGUGCUUAACACAUGCAAGUCGAACGGAAAGGCCCUGCUUUUGUGGGGUGCUCGAGUGGCGAACGGGUGAGUAACACGUGAGUAACCUGCCCUUGACUUUGGGAUAACUUCAGGAAGCUGGGGCUAAUACCGGAUAGGAGCUCCUGCUGCAUGGUGGGAGUUGGAAAGUUUCGGCGGUUGGGGAUGGACUCGCGGCUUAUCAGCUUGUUGGUGGGGUAGUGGCUUACCAAGGCUUUGACGGGUAGCCGGCCUGAGAGGGUGACCGGCCACAUUGGGACUGAGAUACGGCCCAGACUCCUACGGGAGGCAGCAGUGGGGAAUAUUGCACAAUGGGCGGAAGCCUGAUGCAGCAACGCCGCGUGCGGGAUGACGGCCUUCGGGUUGUAAACCGCUUUCGCCUGUGACGAAGCGUGAGUGACGGUAAUGGGUAAAGAAGCACCGGCUAACUACGUG
rnacentral:rRNA from 1 species